rnacentral:rRNA from 1 species
AACGGCCGCGGUAUCCUAACCGUGCAAAGGUAGCAUAAUCACUUGCCUAUUAAUUGUAGGCUAGAAUGAAAGGGUUAACGAAAUAAAAACUGUCUCAAUUAGGUACCUAAAAAUUAAUCUCUAUAUGAAGAAGAAUAGAUAAUCUCGAAGGACAAGAAGACCCUAUAGAGCUUUAUUUUUAAUGUAGAAACAAACUAUAAAAAAAUUCGGUUGGGGCGACCUCGGGCUUAAUAAACACCCAAGAUAAAAAAGAUAUAUUAAUCAAAUAACUGACCCUAUAAAGAUCACAAGACCAAGCUACCUUAGGGAUAACAGGCUAAUCCCACUCAAGAGUCCUUAUCAACAGUGGGGCUUGGCACCUCCAUGUUGGCUUAGG